rnacentral:rRNA from 1 species
GUGAGGAAUAUUGGUCAAUGGGCGCAAGCCUGAACCAGCCAUGCCGCGUGCAGGAAGACGGUCCUAUGGAUUGUAAACUGCUUUUAUUUGGGAAUAAACUCCGGUACGUGUACCGGCCUGAAGGUACCAAAUGAAUAAGCACCGGCUAACUCCGUGCCAGCAGCCGCGGUAAUACGGAGGGUUCAAGCGUUAUCCGGAAUCAUUGGGUUUAAAGGGUCCGCAGGCGGUCUUAUAAGUCAGUGGUGAAAGCCUACAGCUCAACUGUAGAACUGCCAUUGAUACUGUAGGACUUGAAUUCGAUCGAAGUGGGCGGAAUGUGACAUGUAGCGGUGAAAUGCUUAGAUAUGUCACAGAACACCGAUAGCGAAGGCAGCUCACUAGGUCUGGAUUGACGCUCAGGGACGAAAGCGUGGGGAGCAAACAGGAUUAGAAACCCUUGUAGUCC